rnacentral:lncRNA from 1 species
AGCAAGCUCAGCAAUUGCUAUGGAACAAGCUCCCAAAUGCUUACCUCCAACUACUAUUAAAUUGCCUGAAGAAUCACGAAUAAUAAAAGCAGCAUUUGUAGUGUAAGCUUUGACUGAAUUAUCAAAAUUAAGAGAGUGUUUGGUUGGGGGGAUUUGGGGUCAGAAAUUGGAACAGGAAUGGAGACUCCCAUUUCAACCAUUUGGUUGGAAGGAGUCCCAUUUUGAUUCUAAUUUCAGAAUAGAAUUGAAAUGGCC